rnacentral:rRNA from 1 species
GACGAACGCUGGCGGCGUGCCUAACACAUGCAAGUCGAACGGAAAGGUCCGGCUUUUGUGCGGUGCUCGAGUGGCGAACGGGGGAGUAACACGUGAGUAACCUGCCCUUGACUGUGGGAUAACUUCAGGAAACAUGGGCUAAUACCGGAUAGGAGCUCCUGCUGCAUGGUGGGCGUUGGAAAGUUUCGGCGGUUGGGGAUGGACUCGCGGCUUAUCAGCUUGUUGGUGGGGUAGUGGCUUACCAAGGCCUUGAGGGGUAGCCGGCCUGAGAGGGUGACCGGCUACAUUGGGACUGAGCUACGGCCCAGACUCGUAUGGGACGCAGCGGUGGAGAGUAUUACACAAUGGGCGGACGCCUGAUGCAGAAACGCCGCGUGCGGGAUGACGGCCUUCGGGUUGUGAACCGAUUUCGCCUGUGACGAGGCGUGAGUGACGGUACUGGGUAAAGAAGCACCGGCUAACUACGUG